GGUAUAUCUCUACCAAGAACGGGUCAUUAGGAAAUGACUGUGGUUUCCUGAUACUUGGCAGCUCAACGACAUGCCUCUUUCUGUGAAUUAAUGAGCUUCAUCUGUGAUAUUUACAAUGCAGCAAGGAGUGCAUAUGUGAUGAUACUGCAUAUGUUAAUACAGUGUCGUCGUUGAAAGGUACAGCUCUUUAAGAUAAGGAAAUACACCAAGGACUUUGGUUUACUAUGAUGUGUUUUAAUACGUGAUAUUAUUAUGAGUAUAUUCAAAUAGAACCCUGGAUGGUGCCAGAGAUACAGACUUACAAGGUGAACUCUUAAUGGAAUAUAAACUACAUGACACACUGGGGUAUUAAGAUUCAUAUUGUUGUCUGUGCACAGUGCAUGAGUAUUGCACGUUGUAUUGUACAAUUAUUCAGAUUAAUGAAAUAAAGAAAAUCCUUGGU